rnacentral:SRP_RNA from 1 species
GCUGGGCGUGGUGGCGUACACCUGUAAUCUAGCUACUUGGAGGCCAGGGUGCGGAAUUUUGCGGGACCGGGAGUUCUGGCAUAUGGCUGCUCAUGUUGAUCGGGCGUCCACGCUAAGCAAAGCGCCGAUAUGGAUGACCUGUCGGAGGACGGGUUGUCCAGGUCGACUAAGAAGGGGCAAACCUGCCCAGGGGGAACACCAUCACUCACUGGGAAAUGCAGGUACACCCAGCUGACGAGUCCCGAAUAGGACAAAAUGCGCAUCCUGGAUUCCACUGCUAGUCACCAUCCAC